rnacentral:misc_RNA from 1 species
ACUUUUUCUUAUUUUUACUUUGUUGACGUAUUAUUUUUUUUUUAUUUUGUUUAUUUUCUUGCUUUUGCAACCGCGGGACCGCGUUUCUGCGCUUCAGAUUGCGUUUUUCCGACUCCUUUGUUUGAUAUCGUGUCGUAUCGUCGUAUUUAUGUAGUUAUUAGGAACGGCAAGGCCUACGUUGUUGCGUCCUUUACCUGAAUAUCGUGACCGAAUCGAGUGUCGUCGAUUUGAAUCGUGUCUUGCGAACCAUCGUCGAACAAAAGGUGAUGGCUGGUCGUGGUUCAUCAGCGUUUGUUUUGAAACUGAUGGGUACCACAAGGCAUGAAGGAGGUGACUUGCAGCAGCAAGGCACUGCAAGCCUUCGCAGCAACUAGCUAGCCAGUGCUGCUCUGUUCUGAACUGCACUGCGUGUCAUGCGGAGGUUUUGUGCAAGCUCUCUGGGCGGCGACGCUAGCCACGAUUGGCUUCGUGGAUGCACAGAAAUACUCAAGGCGCUUGACGUCUGUGGCUCAUCUGUAUUGUUUUUCCCGGUACCACGGCAUGAAGGAGCUGGCCUUCCUCCCUUCCAUCAGCUGCGAGAUACUACAAGCACUGGGCUACAGCUGCAGCUAGCCCAUGGGUACCGUUCUGCGUCCUGUACUGCAUCUAGUUCGAAAGGCCAUGUGAAAGGCAGGUACCGGGGACCAUGACAUCAGUGAGCUGGCUUUCACCUUGUCCAAGGCAGCAGCGGAACACUACGGGCGGGACCCUGGAUCACUGCACCAUGGAUGCCGUCCUGUACCCUGCACGGCACUGCGUGUGGCUUAAGUGGCCAAGCAGAGGGUCAUUGCAUGACUUUUAUGAGGCGCCGCUAGCCAUUGUUUCAAACCGUCCUGAAUCACGGACCAAGCCUUGCAAGACCUCACUCUUAUGCCCUCUCCUUUUUGGUGGAUCGGGUCUUGCCAUCUUCCCCUCUCGUGGCUCCCUGUCAUAAAUAAAUUGUAUAUUUUUCUGA